rnacentral:rRNA from 1 species
UACGAACUGUGCGAACGUUAUUCGGAAUCACUGGGCUUAAAGGGUGCGUAGGCGGCUGCCUAAGUCAGGUGUGAAAUCUCCCGGCUCAACCGGGAAACUGCGCUUGAUACUGGGCGGCUCGAGUGAGGUAGGGUGUGUGGAACUUCCGGUGGAGCGGUGAAAUGUGUAGAUAUCGGAAGGAACGCCAGCAGCGAAAGCGGCACACUGGGCCUUUUCUGACGCUGAGACACGAAAGCCAGGGGAGCAAACGGG